rnacentral:rRNA from 1 species
GGUUGCGGACAUAUCAUAACGAAGAGGUAUCGUAAUUGAAGAGGUUUGGAAAGACCCACCACAGAAGGUAAUAGUCCUGUAUGUUAAACGAGAAGACUUUAGAUAUGAUCCAGAGUACCACGGACACGUGAAACCCUGUGGAAGCAGGAGGGACCACCCUCCAAGGCUAAAUACUACCUAGUGACCGAUAGCGUAUAGUACCGUGAGGGAAAGGUGAAAAGAACCCCGGGAGGGGAGUGAAAUAGAACCUGAAACCCUGCACUUACAAGCUGUGGAAGCACAUUUCUUGUGUGACCGCGUACUUUUUGUAGAACGGGCCAACGAGUUACGUUAAGUAGCAAGGUUAAGCACUUAAGGUGUGGAGCCGUAGCGAAAGCGAGUUUUAACUGAGCGUUCAGUUACUUGACGUAGACCCGAAACCGGGCGACCUACCCAUGAGCAGGAUGAAGCGAAAGUAAAAUUUCGUGGAGGUCCGAACCCACGAGCGUUGAAAAGCUCGGGGAUGACUUGUGGGUAGCGGUGAAAUUCCAAUCGAGCCCGGAGAUAGCUGGUUCUCCCCGAAAUAGCUUUAGGGCUAGCCUCAAGGUGAGAGAUACGGAGGUAGAGCACUGAAUGUCCUAGGGGGUAUUGCACCUACCGAAGACUAUCAAACUCCGAAUGCCGUCAUCUUAUACUUGGGAGUCAGACUGUGGGUGAUAAGAUUCAUAGUCGAAAGGGGCAACAGCCCAGAUCGUCAGCUAAGGUCCCUAAAUGUAAGUUAAGUGGUAAAGGAUGUGGGAUUGCACAGACAACCAGGAUGUUGGCUUAGAAGCAGCCACUCAUUCAAAGAGUGCGUAAUAGCUCACUGGUCGAGUGAUCCUGCGCCGAAGAUUUCCGGGGCUAAAACUUACUACCGAAGCUACGGCAUCAGUAAUGAUGGGUAGGGGAGCUUCCCAUACGGGGUUGAAGCAUGACCGUAAGGACAUGUGGACAGUAUGGGAGUGAGAAUGUUGGCAUGAGUAGCGAGAUGUGGGUGAGAAUCCCACAGGCCGUAAACCCAAGGUUUCCAGGGGAAGGUUCGUCCGCCCUGGGUUAGUCGGGACCUAAGCUGAGGCCGAAAGGCGUAGGUGAUGGACAACAGGUUGAUAUUCCUGUACUACCGAUAACCGUUUGAGAGAAGGGAUGACACAGUAGGAUAAGCUAAGCACACUGUUGGUUAUGUGUGCCCAAGCAUUGAGGCAGUCAAAGUAGGCAAAUCCGCUUUGAUAAUGCUGGGAUGUGAUGGGGAGCGAAAUUUAGUAGCGAAGUAGCUGAUUUCACACUGUCAAGAAAAGUCUCUAUCGAGGUUAAAGGUACCCGUACCGCAAACCGACACAGGUGGGUGAGGAGAGUAUCCUAAGGCCAGCGAGAGAACUGUUGUUAAGGAACUCGGCAAAAUGACCCCGUAACUUAGGGAUAAGGGGUGCCGCCAUCAGGUGGCCGCAGAGAAUAGGCCCAAGCGACUGUUUACCAAAAACAUAGGUUUCUGCUAAGUCGCAAGACGAUGUAUAGGAGCUGACGCCUGCCCGGUGCUGGAAGGUUAAGGGGAUCUGUUAGAGCAAUCGAAGCAGUGAACUUAAGCCCCAGUAAACGGCGGCCGUAACUAUAACGGUCCUAAGGUAGCGAAAUUCCUUGUCGGGUAAGUUCCGACCCGCACGAAAGGCGUAACGAUUUGGGCACUGUCUCAACAACAGACUCGGUGAAAUUGUAAUUCCGGUGAAGAUGCCGGAUACCUGCGACAGGACGGAAAGACCCCAUGGAGCUUUACUGUAGCUUGACAUUGGGUCUUGGUACUACAUGUACAGGAUAGGUGGGAGGCUUUGAAACCAGGACGCCAGUUUUGGCGGAGCCAUCCUUGGGAUACCACCCUUGUAGUACUGGGACUCUAACCAUAGGCCAUGAAUCUGGUCUUGGGACACUGUCAGGUGGGCAGUUUGACUGGGGCGGUCGCCUCCCAAAAGGUAACGGAGGCGCUCAAAGGUUCUCUCAGUACGGUCGGAAAUCGUACGUAGAGUGUAAAGGCAAAAGAGAGCUUGAUUGCAAGACAUACAGGUCGAGCAAGGAUGAAAAUCGGACUUAGUGAUCCGGUGGUUCUGCGUGGAAGGGCCAUCGCUCAACGGAUAAAAGCUACCCUGGGGAUAACAGGCUUAUCUCCCCCAAGAGUCCACAUCGACGGGGAGGUUUGGCACCUCGAUGUCGGCUCAUCACAUCCUGGGGCUGUAGUAGGUCCCAAGGGUUGGGCUGUUCGCCCAUUAAAGUGGUACGCGAGCUGGGUUCAGAACGUCGUGAGACAGUUCGGUCCCUAUCCGUCGCAGGCGUAGGAAAUUUGAGAAGACCUGUCCUUAGUACGAGAGGACCGGGAUGGACGUACCUCUGGUGUACCAGUUGUCCUGCCAAGGGCAUGGCUGGGUAGCUAUGUACGGAAUGGAUAAGCGCUGAAAGCAUCUAAGCGCGAAGCCAACUUCAAGAUAAGAUUUCCCACCGCAAGGGUAAGACCCCAGAAAGACUAUCUGGUUGAUAGGUCGAAGGUGUAAGUGCAGCAAUGUAUUUAGCUUAUCGAUACUAAUAGGUCGAGGACUUGACCAA